UUCCCCCGUGCGUUUCAGAGACUUCCUCAGCAGCUCUUUCCUCCGGGUUUGUGCUGACUCCCUGUGGUCGUUUUCGCGAUGGAAACACCAUUUGUGAAGCCGGCACGGAAAUCAGGAGCAGGAGCAGCACCGCCGCUCCCUCUCCGCCCUCAGGAUCCCUCCCGGCGGCGGGGACCGCACACCAAACACACCCAUGGUGUUUAGUGUCGGAUAGAGGCCAUCACACCCCACCGCACCCGCUGCAAUUUCGUAUCGAGCACAUCCGAGUGUCACCGAGCAACGCUGAGGGCGCCCGGGCGCUCCAGCCCCGUUCCUCCCGCGUCCCGCCCCUUCCCCCGGAUGCGGGCCGGGAUGGCGCUGCCCACCCCGCGCUACGGGCACCUGGGCCCGCGGGGGCCCUUUCGGGACGUGUACGAGCCGGCCGAGGACACCUUCCUGCUGCUCGAUGCGCUGGAGCGGGACGCGGGCAGCCUGCGGGAGGCUCGAGUCGAGAUCUGCCUUGAAAUAGGAUCUGGAUCUGGUGUGGUUUCAACAUUUCUGGCUUCUUCCAUCCUUGGACCCAGUGCACUGUACAUAUGCACAGAUAUCAACCCCAUGGCAGCUUACUGUACCCAGGAGACAGCUCUGCUUAACAACGUUCACCUGCAGCCUGUCAUCACUGACUUGGUCAAAGGAUUAUCCCCAAGAUUAAAUGGGAAGGUUGAUCUGCUGCUCUUUAACCCACCAUAUGUGGUAACACCUCCUGAAGAGGUGAAAAGCUGUGGAAUAGAGGCAUCCUGGGCUGGGGGCAAACAGGGCAGAGAAGUAAUGGAUAGAGUUUUCCCAUUAGUAGCAGACCUGCUUUCACCAGGAGGAUUAUUCUACUUGGUCACAAUCAAAGAAAACAAUCCAGAUGAAAUUCUGGAAACGAUGGAGAAAAGUGGCUUAAAAGGCACACGAGUACUUUCCAGGCAAGCAGGACAAGAGAUGCUGACAAUCCUCAGAUUUAGGAAAUCUUGACAACUUCUCUUCACCUGCCAGAUGUUCCUGCACGUGAGGUUUUGAUUUUACAAGGAGCAAGAUAGCAGAGAGGAAGGAUGCAAAGCAGGAUUUUAAACUUGUUCAGUGCUUCUGCAUGACGUAAAUUCAACAUCAGUCAAUUAAGAAGUUGAAAAAAUUCACCAUUCACACAACAAUCUGCACUGGGGGAAACCACAGAGUGAGACACAGCGUUCUGAGAGUGAGCUCCAGGAAGUCUGCUGAAAAUUACCUUUUAACACUGCACGAAGGAGCUUUUAGUGCCUUAAAGGAGCAGCAAUUUUCCAGUGUCCCACCAGCUCCUUGCCUGUCACUGGUGAUCACAGAGCUUAGGAUUUACUGCUGCACCAGCCAAGGCAGCCCCUGCAGCUUCACUCCUCUAAUUCCCUGUUAGAAGAGGGAUCAGCUCUUUCAUUUUGAUGCAAGUCCUUCACAACAUGAGAUUCUUUGCAUCUCCCCACUUUUCCCUCAGCAGUUUCAGGAGGUAAGCUGAGCCUUGUUAGACCAAAGCACACAUCUUGAGCCAGGUUCUGAAUUGUUGGCUGAGCUUGGGUGCUCUCACAAGGGGGCUCGGUUCAUUCUGGUUAAAGCUUCACUGGGGGUUUGUUGUCCAUCAAACACUUCCCUAAGAGCAACCACGGGUAUUGUAGCUGUUGGAUUUGUCAUGGGGUAAUGACAGCCUUCAGAAACAAGGGGAGGGAGGAAGCAAUUUAAAGCUAAUUAUGGAAGAAUUGAGGCGAGAAGGUGUCAGUUACUGCAGUGAAAUCCAAGGCUGAAUUUGAGCUAUUUUGGACGCUGGAGGACAGAUUAAAAAACCACUUGAGGCAAACCAAUAUACAAACCCCUCCUAAAAACCUCUAAAGUCCCUAAAACUUUUCUGUCAGCUCUGAACAGAACUACUGCACAGUAUUUUCACCUGAGCUGCAGUAGCUCUCUAUUCCACCUCUCUCACCCUGCACUUUCUACCUGAGAUGUGCUUGUAGAUAUCAAAGAGGUGACCACACAAGCUACAAAUUCCAAACCCCUUGUAAAAAACUUGGUGGGAUCAGGAAAAAAAAAUAAAAGCAGAACUGUCAGAGAUUGACUCUCCUUCAGCCUAUGCAAAUAACAAAUGUCAGACCUAAUUAUCAAUAUCACUGAUUUGAAAGCUGUGUGUACUUGAUCCUACUGCAUCCUGGAUAUGGAUUGAACUGCCUUGAUUCACUUAAAAAGGUAAAAUGGUACCAUCAGAAUUUAGCAUGGCCUAAUUACUAAACUUUAAAUAUUUCCUUCACCUGGUCCUGCAUCAGCUUCCACAGAAAUCCUGACUGAUGCAUUGAUUUUUGCAAGUGUGCGUGUGCUGUUUCAUACACGAAUUGUCCACACAAGAAAAAUUUAUAAAGGGUAUGUUUAUUUCUGUUCUGCUUUUCCAUUUCACAACAAAAAGCUCUUGGUCUUAAUGUGCUGUGACCUGGAAAUGACUGAAAAUGAGAAAAUAAUGGUUCAUAAAUCCAUCACUCAAGAGGUUGCCUGAAUUUAUCAUUGAUCCAUCCUCAGAUGUCAAUACACGUCAGAAUUCAGGAAAAGAAAUGUGUAAACAAUCAAACCCACACCUGAUGAUAAUUUUUGAUGGGUUGAUGUUAUUUGCUCAAUUUUCAUGAAGUCCCCAAGGGAGAGGGAUCAAACUGUGACCUUUUUGGAUUCUUCCACAUUGCAGAAGCCCUUCCUGAAAAGAUCUGAGGCCUUGGGUAGCUGCAAGACUCUGUACCUACAAAUGGUUUACUGCAGUGUCAAAAAGCACAAUUAUUCCACCUGGUAUUCACUUGGAGCAGAAGGCAUCAUUAGGGAAUUUCUGUCACCAUGAAGAAAAUCAGGAAUUGACAGGAAGCAGAGGUUUUGUAUAACCAGUCCUGAAACAGACUUCAGUGUCAUUGCACAGGUAAAUCAAAUGCUUCAAUAUCUGAUGUUACCUUAGGCUACAGCAGCACCUCCUUAAAUUUUCCUGUCCCCAUCCAUUUCCUGUGUCUUACACCACUCUAUGAACCACAAGAAGUUCUUAAUCCACUUGAUUGGUAAAAUAAGAGAUUAUGCAUAAAUUCUAUAAAAAAGGAAUACCUUUAUUUUUUUUUUUAAGAGACCGUUUUUUCAUUACCAAGUGAAAACUUUACAAUGUAAAGUAUUUCUCUUCAGUAUUGUUUUAAUAUAAAAACUUAAAUCACUUACUCUGGUCUUACUGUUCCUACAGGAAAUCUUGUGGCACUGCAGGACCCAGGUAUCUUCAGCCUCACUCUAGUAUCUAAUCAUAAGUUCAUGACUUUUUUUUUAAAUAAAACCAUUUCUGUGGCCACUCACCAUCAACAAAACAUCCCUACCACCAAAACAAAAAUAAAGCAUCUUCAUCAGACCAAAAGAGACUAAACUCUAACAGCACUAUUACAGUGAGAAACUUUGUUAAAAUAAAAAUCUUUUCAAAGUUAGACACGACUUUAAAAUUGUACAAAGACAACAAGCACUCAAGUUACACAGAGUAAGUAGCAGUGAGUACAAUGUGAAUGCAACAACAGUGAGCCUUGCCUCUUUUUAUAUGUAAUAUAAAUAGAGAUUCCUUGCCAAACUUCCAGCUUUUUUUUUUUUCCUUUUUUCCUGAAAAUCAGCUCAUUAUGCUGCAAAACCUAACAGGGAGCAUCUCACUCUUCAGUUCAACAGAACUGCUAAAAGGGGCUCUGGUUAAAACCAGUCUUUCUAUCGUGAGAAUAUCCCAUACUGUGCAGAACAAGUUUCUCUCUCCACUGAAAAUCAAUUCCCUUUUAUUGUGCUGAAAGCUUCACCUUCCCAUGGGACCUGUCAAAUUACAGGCUUCAAAAUGAUUAAAAAUUCUGAAGCUUGCUCCUGGUUUUUGAAGAACAUGCUAGCUGACACUAUCAUGGUGUGUCCAUGGAAGGAGUCCCUCAACAGAGAAUGGUCGUGUUUGUAUUUGACUCUUUGCAAGUGUUGUUUCAAGAAAAACACUUGGGACUAAUUUUAGAUAAUUUGGCUAAAUUAGUUUAAGUAUUGGUCAGAGAAGAAAAUAUUUCUUCCUUAAUUUUUUCUAUUACAUUUAGACCUCAAAUGUAUCCCUAAAACCACCUGGCAGAAAGUAUCCCUUAGAGAUUGUCCCUACAUUUGUCUGUAAAGCAAAAAGCUGACACUGCUACCAUCCUUCCUUUACUUCUGAGAUUUUCUUUACAGGAAAUACAUUCUUGCACAAGAAAUUAAUCCCCCAUGGUGACUGUUCAAACAACUCCAUUACAGCCUCAAAACUAGGAUUUAGUUAUUCCUUAGGUUUAGAUAGAUGAGAAAACUUCUGCUGUAAAUCUUCCCUGAGAUCAACAGCAAUUAAAAGAAAGUUAUGUUUUAUCCAACUGCAGCCAUACUGGCAAAACUGAAUGGUGAAAUGAACUUUUGGCAAAACUGAAUGGUGAAAUGAACUUUCAGAUCGGGUGUUCUGAAUUUGAGUGUUUGCAGGACUCUGUUUCAUGACAGAAUGCAAGCACUUACUCAUAUUUUCUCUAAAAAUGCCUUGAUGAUUAGGGUUAUUUUCAUGAUUUUAAACUUAUUCUUUCUAGAUUACCUGGAAGUGCUUUAUUUUUCAUAGCUUUACUCCAUUAUUAACGUUUGUUGCAAUGGAACA